UAUUAUUUAACGUGUGAUUUUGAAUAUCUAAGUAUUAAUAGUUAUGUUCUUUAAACUUAAAGAAUAUGGCGGUGUUUUAGUCCUUUUAGAGGAAUCUGUCCUGUAAUCGAUAAUACACGAUUUUUGUUACUUAAUCUUUUUAUAGCUUAUAUACCGCCGUCGGUAAGAUUUUCUUAUGAAGAGUGGGAAGUUUCUUUAUUUAUUAUUUUAUUUUAUGUCAGGUCAAGGUGUAGCUUAUGGUUGAGAAGAGAUGGAUUACAAUGAAUUUAUUUACAUGGAUGAUAUGAUGAAAUUUGUAUUUGAAAGUGGAUUUAAUUGUAAAAUUAUUGAAGAUAAUAUUUUGAUUUAGGCUCUGGAAUGUGUACAUAUCGCCCGUCGUUCUCGUUUUAAGAUGAG
rnacentral:rRNA from 1 species